CAAAAACUGUUUUGAGUUUGUAGACACGUGUUCAUAAAUGUCUUUAGAACAUGUCUGUUGUAUAAAAAGGUUUAAAACUGCUGCUUGUGCUGUUCAACGUGACUUCACCAAGUGUGCCAUCUGCUGGACAAAGAGGUUCAACACAGUUUGUGGAUCAGAGACUGUAUUCAGCUCUGAAUCAAUACGCUACAUGCAUUUCAAAGUGUGGCCUGGUGUGUGACUUACGUCUGGUCGAUGACGCGAGUCCUCCACUCGUGCCGUUUGAGCUCCUCUCUGGCCUCCUCCAGGGCAGUGAUGGAUGUGGCCACGCGCAUACUCGGCUCUAGGGGCCGGUGCCGUUGCUGCUGUACCUCCAGAGCCGGGCGAAAGGGCCCCUGACAGACGGCAGGCAGCUGGCAGUGAUGUCCUCUUGCCCUGUCCGUGCUGUGGUUGGCACAGAGCAUCCAGUGAACAUGCAGAAACAUGGGCAUGAGCUGUGGUGGCAGGGGCAGGAAGAGGGCCACAGGAGGCCUGAUGGCCAUAAAAGCAUGAAGGAGAGAGCACAAAACGCAAUAUCUGCUUGCCCCGCACUGUUGCUGAAUCAACAAAGGCCAGAUCAUUUCAUAAUUAUUAUCAAGAACAUUAAAGCCAAAAGAAAUGUCUGAGAAGAAUAUUUUAGUGAAUUAUUGCAGAUGUUAGGAUCUAUAGGUAU